UACGAAGGGGGCUAGCGUUGCUCGGAAUCACUGGGCGUAAAGCGCACGUAGGCGGGUUGUUAAGUCGGGGGUGAAAUCCUGGAGCUCAACUCCAGAACUGCCCUUGAUACUGGCAAUCUCGAGUCCGGAAGAGGUAAGUGGAACUCCGAGUGUAGAGGUGAAAUUCGUAGAUAUUCGGAAGAACACCAGUGGCGAAGGCGGCUUACUGGUCCGGUACUGACGCUGAGGUGCGAAAGCGUGGGGAGCAAACAGG
rnacentral:rRNA from 1 species